UCUACUGGUGUCAACAAAGUCAUGCUUGUUGUACUAAUUGGUAAUUUGCACCAACACAUUAGUGGUAAGGUACUGUAUUGGCACAACAGGAUCAUUUAUAAAAAGGCAGGAAAAUAAACUGUAGCUACUCAUUUACACUUAGGCUGUAGCAUCUUAGAAAGACACUAGUGAAGGUAUAGCUAUGACAACGAGGCAAUAGGUAGACUGGCUGGAUCAUGUGUCAGUGAGGGAUACGUACCCACACAGCUGCUGGAAUACUCAGUGAGAGACUGUCAAAGGUAUCAUACCUCACAGGACUCUGCAAGAAAAUAUUUCACAUAUCCAGUGAGCUAAAAUUUAUGAUGGUCAAAAAAAAACCCCCAAACCAGCCUCACACAAGAUGAACACAUGCCCUCUGCUGUCCACAAUUACCUGGUGGAAUAGGGUCAAAACCACCCGCCUUCCCAACCACAGUGCUAAGGAAGACUAGGUAUACAAGGUGCUACUUAGCCCCUUUCUGCUGAAGCUGCCCUACUCACUUAAAUUUGUUUGCAAGGUUUUGAAAAGUAAAAGUACCAAACGUACUCCUGCAGUUUGAUCUACAAAUGAGAUUUACUUACUUUACUGUUUUCUUUAUCCAGGUUAUCUUCAUCUCCUUACUCUGGAUAACGGGACUGCAACUUAAUUUGGCUUUGCAUGUGCAAUCCCAAUACUGUGUGCUGAAUGAAUAGCUUGUCCUAAAACGCUACCCAUGAAUCUAGGCAGACUACAGAAACUUUUGAUAAUGAAGUAACAUUGGUAAAGAAGUCACCUCCAGCGAAUGCACGUCGAACAAAUGUGUCACACGUGGCUGACGAUCCCGUUCAUCUUCUAAUGAAGAGGUAAGGACGUGAAAUAGUUCAUGAGCAUCCUAUUAAAUAGAGGAAUAAGACUUAGAGGAAGCGAAAACAACAGACAUCAAAACAUACACCAGGAGUACUGAUAGACAUAUGACUACAUCAUUGUAGUGGGAAAUGAAAGGAAAAAUUACUGCUUAGAGCCCACCUUGUGUAUUAAGAGUAAUCAUUUGUGCAUCUGUUGCAGUUUUGCCAAAAAGCUUUUUCUAUAAAGCUGAACUUGAUAACAGUGCAUAUUAUGAAAAAAAUUCUGCGCCAUACAAACUCAAAAGAUACUAAAAUACUUGGAGAAAAAAAGAAAAAUGAGUGCACAAAGGCCUGCUUUCCAUGAUUUCAAUAAAAGCAUAAUUGAAA